rnacentral:rRNA from 1 species
AUUGAACGCUGGCGGCAGGCCUAACACAUGCAAGUCGAACGAGUGGCGGACGGGUGAGUAAUGUCUGGGAAUCUGGCUUAUGGAGGGGGAUAACUACGGGAAACUGUAGCUAAUACCGCGUACCAUAGGAUGAGCCCAAGUGGGAUUAGCUAGUUGGUGGGGUAAAGGCUCACCAAGCCGACGAUCCCUAGCUGGUCUGAGAGGAUGACCAGCCACACUGGAACGGAGACACGGCCCAGACUCCUACGGGAGGCAGCAGUGGGGAAUAUUGCGCAAUGGGCGCAACCCUGACGCAGCCAUGCCGCGUGUAUGAAGAAGGCCUUCGGGUUGUAAAGUACUUUCGGUGGCGAGGCGUUACCUGCAGAAGAAGCACCGGCUAACUCCGUGCCAGCAGCCGCGGUAAUAC